UACGAAGGGGGCAAGCGUUGUUCGGAAUUACUGGGCGUAAAGGGCGCGCAGGCGGCCAAUCAAGUCAGGCGUGAAAGCCCCGGGCUCAACCUGGGAAUAGCGCUUGAGACUGGUAGGCUUGAGUUCGGGAGAGGUGAGUGGAAUUCCCAGUGUAGAGGUGAAAUUCGUAGAUAUUGGGAAGAACACCGGUGGCGAAGGCGGCUCACUGGACCGAUACUGACGCUGAGGCGCGAAAGCGUGGGGAGCAACCAGG
rnacentral:rRNA from 1 species